UCCACGCCGUAAACGAUGUCAACUAGGUGUUGGGGCGGUUAAUCGUCUCAUUGCCGGAGCUAACGCAUUAAGUUGACCGCCUGGGGAGUACGGUCGCAAGAUUAAAACUCAAAGGAAUUGACGGGGGCCCGCACAAGCGGUGGAGUAUGUGGUUUAAUUCGACACAACGCGCAGAACCUUACCUGGUCUUGACAUCCCGAGAAUCUUAAGGAAACUUGAGAGUGCCUCUUUGA
rnacentral:rRNA from 1 species